rnacentral:snRNA from 1 species
GCACUCACUGUGGCAGCAUGUAUACUAAAAUCAGAGGGAUAAAGAGAAGAUUAGCAAUGGCCUCUGUAUAAUAAUGUCAUUGAAAUUCAUGGAGCAUUCCAUAUUUUU